rnacentral:tmRNA from 1 species
GGGGGCGUACUGGUUUCGACGGGGGUACGUGACAUAUGGGAAGCGAGUAGAGGGAACUCAUGGGCCCGCUUUAAAAAACUAUGGGAAUAAAGAUAAACGCAGAAGAUAAUUUCGCGUUAGCAGCUUAAUAUAGCCGCUCGUCUUACCUUUGAGGCCCACGGCUUAGGAUAAGGCGCCAUUUAGUGGGGAACCGCAUCAUGGAAAGCUUUGACCAUGAGACGGAAUUUAUGAAGCUACUGAAGUAGAAACCUGGUUCCUAGGGGUUCUGCGGAGGGAAUGUUAAAAUAGGAACUGCACUCGGAGAUGCCUGUGUGGUAUGGCUUUCGGACAUGGGUUCGAUUCCCAUCGCCUCCACCA